UACGAGGGGGGCAAGCGUUGUUCGGAAUUACUGGGCGUAAAGCGCGUGUAGGCGGUUGUUCAAGUCAGGUGUGAAAGCCUUGAGCUCAACUCAAGAAAUGCACUUGAUACUGGAUGACUAGAGGACCGGAGAGGAUAGUGGAAUUCCCAGUGUAGUGGUGAAAUACGUAGAGAUUGGGAAGAACACCAGUGGCGAAGGCGGCUAUCUGGACGGUUUCUGACGCUAAGACGCGAAAGCGUGGGGAGCAAACAGG
rnacentral:rRNA from 1 species